GCCUUGGUAGUUCAAUGGAUAGAACAACGCACUCCUAACGCGUCGAUCUAGGUUCGAUUCCUAGUCAGGGCA
rnacentral:tRNA from 1 species